rnacentral:rRNA from 1 species
UUGCUCCUACGGGGCGCAGCAGUGAGGAAUAUUGGUCAAUGGGCGCGAGCCUGAACCAGCCAAGUAGCGUGAAGGAUGACUGCCCUACGGGUUGUAACCUUCUUUUAUAAAGGAAUAAAGUGAGGCACGUGUGCCUUUUUGUAUGUACUUUAUGUAUAAGGAUCGGCUAACUCCGUGCCAGCAGCCGCGGUAAUACGGAGGAUCCGCGCGUUAUCCGGAUUUAUUGGGUUUAAAGGGAGCGUAGAUGGGUUGUUAAGUCAGUGGUGAAAGUUUGCGGCUCAACCGUAAAAUUGCAAUUGAUACUG